GGAAGCUUACACUCCAUCUGGCCCAACCUGGGCGUGCUGUGUCCACGGACUGUCCCUGGCCUUGUGCCUCCACAUCCCACUCAGUCCCGCGCCGCCCCUGGCCUCGCCCUCACGGUGGGUGCCUGUCUUGUGCACGGAGUCGCCAUUUGUCGCUAGAGAAGCCCUCUGGAGACCUGAACGCUCUUUCUUCAGCAGCCUAGCCUGCAGCGGGGCGGGGGCUGGGGUCUGGGCCAGGUAGGCGGACGGGAGCCGGCUGUGAGCGGCGGCGAGACCCGGUGGCCCUGAGGUUAGCGGGCGCAGGUUCCUUGGCGGGGAGUCCUGCUGGCGGGGUCGCGGGCCCAGGGCAGCAGGCAUGGCUCUGGGGGGGACCCGGCCUCAGCCCGCAAGGCCCCUCUCUCCCUCCCUCCCUCCUUUCCUUCAGAGGUCCACACAGCCAGGACUGGCGUGCAGCCCGGAGUCCCUGGCCCCCGCCAGGCACUGCUGGGAGGCCAGCCCUGGUGUGGGACCUAUGGGAGGCAGCUCAGGUCUCACAUGGCCUCUGCUGUCACUGAGCCUGGCUGUGCUGAGCCAGGGACAUUUAUCACCCAAACGAAGAUUUCAUUCCAUUCCGAGCUCCUCCCUGCAGAGACUGAGAAAGGACCAAGAUAUUACAGUAAGAUAGCAGUUAUUAUUCUACCUGCACAUGCUUUGGCUCAAGUCCCUUCCAUUGAUAAGGGGUUUCUGCUUCUUUUAAUAUUGGUGCCACUUGGGUGUUUAUGUUUUGUAAACAUAAGGAGACCGAAUGCAGCAGGGGCUUUGACAACAAGGCAAAGUAUGAUCAGUAGAGUUUAAAAUUUAAAUCCACAAAUAAAAAUAAUUCACACACAUUGUUGAACCCUGCUACAGAAUAUCCAUCUUGCCCAUAUUCGGCUGUCUCUAACCACUACUACCCAGUUCUGCUCAUAUGAUUUAUAUAUUUGCAUAGUGUUGAAUAUUUAUACGCAUAGGUAGAGGUUUAUUUAGUUAUCCUGUUACUGACCAUGUACAAAAGUCUAGUUCCUCUUAGAAAAAUUGCAUUGAGCAUAUAUCAUUUUUUUCUUGGGAUAAAUUCCAGAAUUUGGAAAUAGUAAUUCAGAGUUCUCUGUUCUUUCCCUGACACUUGACAUGAACUGGUGCCUAAAUAAGCCAUGUUUACAUCUUUCAAAAUCUAGGUAUUUGUCCAAUUAUCUUGGAAAAUUUGGAGUUCAGCGAGAUGUUGAAUUAUUUUCUGUGCAGGCUGAGAGGCAGGCCACACAACCUACUGUAGGAUUUUGUUUUUAAGUCAUGUAACAUGUUCAUGUUUUUGUUUUGAUUGACUAUUAUGUUUUGUUUCAUUUGGUUUAAUUCUCUUUAAAAUAAAAAAUUAAAAAAAAACAUUUUCUUGCUGGGCAUGGUGGUUCAUGCCUGUAAUUGUAGCACUCUGGAGAGUUAGACAGGGGCAUCACAGGGAAUGCCAGGCUAGCCUGAAAUACUUGAUGAGUUCAAGGUCAAGCUGCAUAGAAGGACCUUGUCUCAGAACAAAACGACCUCUUUUUCGUCUUUUCUUAUUUUAAUGUAGCAUAAGUAGAUACUAAUAAAAUAUGAAAACACUUUUAUAAAUAGAUUAAAGUUUUCAUACCAUGCAGUUUAUAUACUAUGAAACUACAAUAUACUUUAUAUAACUAUAUAAUAUGAAACAGCGUAGUAGUUUCAUACUAUGCAGUUUUCAUGCUAUGCAGUUUAUAUACUAUGUUCCAUUAUCCUGGGGAUUUCUGCAUGCGCUAUAUGGCUGUGCAAUUUUUAAAAAAAGUUUUUAACACCCCUAAACACAAUUGCUGUCGUAUCCUUUAGAGCUUUUUUGUUUCUCUCUCUUUUUUACAACAAAAUUUACACAUUUUGGGUUUUAUUACUCCUUAGUUGUUAUUACUUUUUUUGGGGGGGAGAGAAUAAAGUCAAAUAUGGCAAAACAAAGCUGUCAGUCAAAACCAAGGAUAGACAUAGCACAUGAUGUAAAACAGAGUACAAGGUUAUCAACAAUGGUUAUCAACGAUGUCUCUUGUUUCCUUAAAAAGAAUUGUCUAUUUCAUUAGAUAUCAUAAAGUUGAACAAAACAGUAGAGAACAAGACCAAUAAAACUUAGGCAUUGUAAACAUUACAGGACUUUGGUUGGAUCAUUGAACACAACUGUUUGCAGUCUCACUGUUUAAAUGUCUACUUUGUAUUCUUUGAUACUGUGAUUUGAGCAACUAUUUCUAAGAUGAUAAUAUGUAAUCUAUUAACUGGUGAUUUUUUACUUUUUUUUUGUAGUUCUGUAUUACUUGUACCCUUACACCACUUUGUUUUGUUUUGUGUUUUUCUCUUUUUCCUUUUAAAUAAAAUUUAAUUUUUUUUUUUAAGUUUUGAGACAGGGUCUAAAUAAUUCACUCAAUUCCCCAGGUUGGAGUUAAAUUUGUGGUCUUCCUUUCUAGCAUCCAGAUGGCUGGGAAUCUACAGGCUAUCCUUACUUAGAAAUUAGCAAUCAUUAUAUAUGUUUAUGGGAUAAAAUGUGCCUUUGAUCUUGGCUCCUUUGUGGUAAGAAUCAAUCUAGUUAAUGUGUCUACCACCUUACCAACCUAUAAAUUCUUUCACAGUGACUGCAACUGCAAAUCUCAUGGUUUAGCAGUUUUGAAAGUUAUCCUUCUUAUUAACUGUGGUCACCAUGCAGUUUAGUAGAGAGUUGAAAAUUUGUUCUCCACCGUGCCCGAGAUUUUGUAUUCUUAGGUGAACAUCUUCCUUUCCCCAUCCCUCAUGGAAUUGAUCAUAUUAAGAAUCAGAGUGCCCAAGAAAAGGUGUGAAGGUACUUGGGGCACACUGCUCUUCAGAACGACCAGGCAGUGGUACCCUGUAGCACCUCACCUUGCUCCCAGUUUUUAUUUUUUUGUUUUGUUUUGUUCUUUAACUCAGUUCUGGGAAUUGAAUGCAGGGCUGGCUUAGUUACUUUUUCCUGGUUGCAGAGACAACAUACCUGAUGCCAAAAGUUGGCAAUAAAAAGGUUUAUUUCUUACAGUUUUUGGAGGUAUCAGUCCAUACUCAGUUGGCUCCAAGGCAGGCUGGCAUGGUGGGGCCACAGUUUAUGGCUGCAGCAAACAGCAAGGAGGAAACAGGCAAAAGAGCAAGACAGGCCUUCUUUCUGCCAUUACAUCAUAUCCUGGCUCCACCCCUAGGUCAGUGUUGCACUCACACCCCCAGUCCAAGGGAUAAACAAUGAACCAGUCACAAAGGCAUAAUAUAAACGCAUGAGGCCUGGGGGCCACAGACAUAAAUUGUGAUAAGGGCCUUGCACUGAACUAGACUAACUUCUGUUUUUAAAAUUCUUUUUUUAUUUUAAGCCAGGGUCACCACAAGGAACUACAGUGCUGAGACACCAUCUUGGACAUAGAUUCUUACAUGUCUAUGUGUGGAUGCACCUUGAUGUCAUAUUGGAAACUACUAGGAGGUGAAGCGGCUCUGAACAGGAUUUAAAUUUUACUAAUUGGCUUUCUAUGUUUAGCUGUGAAUCUGUCCUAGGCCGAAGCCCCUUGCCUGGAGACAGGAGCUGAUUCAUAUUAAGUGAACCUCUGUGAAUCACAGGUCCUGACUGAGGCCUGUAGUGGCUUGUGACGACAGAGAUACCUCAAAAGGUCCAGGGACACUUGUGUAGUGCUCUGAUGGAAGCUGCCAGAAGGGGCUCUGCUCUGCUCCCCUUGUUCUCCCCAGUGCUGUUCAGGACCUGCCUUUAAACCUGCCAUCCGAUGGAGACAUAGCAUCUAUCAGGGAUGUGUGCCUGCAUGAAUCAGCUUUGGAGGCUCAGUGUUUUCUGCUCUUGUUGGCCACCUGUGGUGAUUCUCUUUUGAUUUAUAAGAAUUUUUCAUCUCUCACAGAAUGGAUUCAUGACACCUCUUUUACACCUGUAUCACAAACUGUCUGUCUGACUAUGGCUUGUAAGGAAAGGUUUCUUGUAGUUUCUGCAUUAUUCUUUUUUCUGUUUUUCAAAUGCAAUGGAUCAGACCUCUCUAGCUCCCUUCUAUCAUUGAAAUCAUGGGAACACUUUUCCAACAUUAAAAGUUGAGUAGAUACAAAA